UGUCCGUUAUUAUGGAACAAUAAAGAUUUUUUUAUUUUAAAGCACUCCGGUGAGCAGAAACGUUGUCUUUUCUUCUUCCUAUUCAGUGAGGCGUGGGACGCCAAGAGAAUCCAGCGCCCAGAGACAGAUCCAUGGGCCGCCUGUAUUGCAAAGAAGGCUAGCGGUCCGGACUUCCCUCGCUGAGAGCCGAUAGGCCCCCGUGACAAUUGCACCUUCACAGCAAUGACUUUGGGUGCCGCUGGCCAGGCUUUGGGUUUACAGAACGUUCAAGCAAGAGACGGGGUAUGUAGGACAGAAAAUAGACAUCCACCAAAAGGCUUCACCUACUUGGCCUUCAAGAUGAUCUUUCAGUGAUAUCUAGGAAAAAAGACACCCAACAUCUUAUCCUAACUGGCCUUCAAACUUGGCAUUCAGGGCCCACUAAUGAUGACAUCACUUCUGGUUUCCAGCAACGGCACUUCCUGCUUUAUGUU